GAAUAUUGGAAAAUGGGGGGAAACCUGAUACAGCCAUGCCGCGUGUGUGAAGAAGGCCUUUUGGUUGUAAAGAACUUUAAGCGUAGCGGAGGAGCUAUUGGCUACUACACAAGAAGCUUGGAUGUACCUCGCCGCAUCAGCUCCGGCUACCUAUGUGACGUAAGCCGCGGUAAUACAGAGGGUGCAAGCCUUAAUCGGAUUUACUGGGCGUAAAGCGCGCGUAGGUGGCCAAUUAAGUCAAAUGUGAAAGCCCCGAGAUUAACUUGGGAAUUGCAUGCGAUGCUGGUUGGCUAGAGUAUGGGAAAGGAUGGUAGAAUUCCAGGUGUAGCGAUGAAAUGCGUAGAUAUCUGGAGGAAGACCGAUGGCGAAGGCAGCCAUCUGGCCUAAUACUGACACUGAGGUGCGAAAGCAUGGGGAGCAAACA
rnacentral:rRNA from 1 species